AUUGAACGCUGGCGGCAGGCCUAACACAUGCAAGUCGAACGAGUGGCGGACGGGUGAGUAAUGUCUGGGAAACUGCCUGAUGGAGGGGGAUAACUACUGGAAACGGUAGCUCAUACCGCAUACCAUCGGAUGUGCCCAGAUGGGAUUAGCUAGUCGGUGGGGAAAAGGCUCACCAAGGCGACGAUCCCUAGCUGGUCUGAGAGGAUGACCAGCCACACUGGAACUGAGACACGGUCCAGACUCCUACGCGAGGCAGCAGUGGAGAAUAUUGCACAAUGGGCGCAAGCCUGAUGCAGCCAUGCCGCGUGUAUGAAGAAGGCCUUCGGGUUGUAAAGUACUUUCAGCGGGGAGGCGUUACCCGCAGAAGAAGCACCGGAGAACUCCGUGCCAGCAGCCGCGGUAUUC
rnacentral:rRNA from 1 species